AAUGAAAUCUUUGUUCACUGGCAGCCCAUAGGCCAUGAAUGACUCAUCGUGACUCAUGGAUGCCCUGGCUCUUUGCAUCCUGCACACAGACGCAUGACGGACACUUGAUGAGACUCCUUGAUGCAAAAAGCAGCCAACACUAUGAAAUACUGUCCAUGAAGAAAAUGAGACCUAGAGAAGUCAAGGACCUCGCCUAAGAUCCCUUGCCUGUAAGGAUGAAGCUGGGAUUCAAAUUCAGACAGCCUGGGUCCCAGAGCCAGCAUGCUUCCAAC
rnacentral:lncRNA from 1 species